UACGUAGGUGGCAAGCGUUGUCCGGAUUUACUGGGCGUAAAGAGCGCGCAGGCGGUCGUCCAAGUCGCGUGUGAAAGCCCCCGGCUCAACUGGGGAGGGUCACGCGAUACUGAUCGACUCGAAGGCAGGAGAGGGUAGUGGAAUUCCCGGUGUAGUGGUGAAAUGCGUAGAUAUCGGGAGGAACACCAGUGGCGAAGGCGACUACCUGGCCUGUUCUUGACGCUGAGGCGCGAAAGCUAGGGGAGCAAACGGG
rnacentral:rRNA from 1 species